rnacentral:lncRNA from 1 species
AAUAACUAAUAAUAAUACCUAUUAUUCCAUUGUAGGUCCUUAUAAAAAUAUCAGAGUUUAAAUAUAACAGUGUUUUCGUGAGUAUGAUCAUCACUAAUUAAUUCGAGGGCAUAAAAUGUUAGAACAACUUGAUUGGUUGAUAUGGCACGAAGCGAUUUUGAUACAGUAUUAUUUGCAUAUUAGCAUAUAAGUUAGUAAGUAUCCCACAUAACAAUCGGUGUACAUUUGAUAGUGAAAAUUAUAAUAAUUGUUAAGAGUGGUGGAUGAAAAUAGACACUUUAAACAAAUUGCAGAUUAUUUCUUCUCCUUGCUAUUUAAGAGAUGUGUGAA